GGCGGAACGAAUUAUUAUUUCCGGGGGGCUUACAUGCAAGUCGAGCGGGCCCUUCGGGGUCAGCGGCAGACGGGUGAGUAACGCGUGGGAACGUACCAUUUGCUACGGAAUAACUCAGGGAAACUUGUGCUAAUACCGUAUGACCCCCCCUUUAAAAUUUCAGGAAUCAUAAAAUGCCCUGGCAUUUUAUGGGGGGGAAAGAUUUAUCGGCAAAUGAUCGGCCCCCGUUGGAUUAUCUAGUUGGUGGGGUAAAGGCCUACCAAGGCGACAAUCCAUAGCUGGUCUGAGAGGAUGAUCAGCCACACUGGGACUGAAACACGGCCCAAACUCCUACGGGAGGCAGCAGUGGGGAAUAUUGGACAAUGGGCGCAAGCCUGAUCCAGCCAUGCCGCGUGAGUGAUGAAGGCCCUAGGGUUGUAAAGCUCUUUCACCGGUGAAAAUAAUGACGGUAACCGGAAAAGAAGCCCCGGCUAACUUCGUGCCAGCAGCCGCGGUAAUACGAAGGGGGCUAGCGUUGUUCGGAUUUACUGGGCGUAAAGCGCACGUAGGCGGGCUAAUAAGUCAGGGGUGAAAUCCCGGGGCUCAACCCCGGAACUGCCUUUGAUACUGUUAGUCUUGAGUAUGGUAGAGGUGAGUGGAAUUCCGAGUGUAGAGGUGAAAUUCGUAUAUAUUCGGAGGAACACCAGUGGCGAAGGCGGCUCACUGGACCAUUACUGACGCUGAGGUGCGAAAGCGUGGGGAGCAACAGGAUUAGAUACCCUGGUAGUCCACGCCGUAAACGAUGAAUGUUACCCGUUGGGGAGUUUACUCUUCGGUGGCGCAGCUAACGCAUUAAACUUUCCGCCUGGGGAGUACGGUCGCAAGAUUAAAACUCAAAGGAAUUGACGGGGGCCCGCCCAAGCGGUGGAACCAUGUGGUUUAUUUCGAAAGCAACGCGCAGAAACCUUACCAGCCCUUGGACAUCCCGAAU
rnacentral:rRNA from 1 species